rnacentral:rRNA from 1 species
GACGAACGCUGGCGGCGUGCUAAACACAUGCAAGUCGAGCGGAAAGGCCACUUCGGUGGUACUCGAGCGGCGAACGGGUGAGUAACACGUGAGUAAUCUGCCCUUCACUUUGGGAUAACCCCCGGAAACGGGAGCUAAUACCGGAUACGACCACCGUCCGCAUGGGCUGGUGGUGGAAACUUUUUUGGGUGGGGGAUGUGCUCGCGGCCUAUCAGCUUGUUGGUGGGGUAAUGGCCUACCAAGGCUUUGACGGGUAGCCGGCCUGAGAGGGUGACCGGCCACACUGGGACUGAGACACGGCCCAGACUCCUACGGGAGGCAGCAGUGGGGAAUAUUGGACCAUGGGCGGAAGCCUGAUCCAGCAACGCCGCGUGAGGGAUGACGGCCUUCGGGUUGUAAACCUCUUUCAGCACCGACGAAGCGCAAGUGACGGUAGGUGCAGAAGAAGGACCGGCCAACUACGUGCCAGCCGCCGCCGUAAGAC